rnacentral:tRNA from 1 species
GGGCGGUUAGCUCAAUGGUUAGAGCAAGCGGUUCAUACCCGUUCGGUUGGGAGUUCAAAUCUCUCACCGCCUACCA